AUAAAUAUAAGACCCUGUCUUAUUUUCAGGGAAACACAGUAUUAAGGAGAGAAAUAAAGGAAUGAUGGAAGUGGGGGGUGAAAUUUUAUAUAAGGCUACCAAGAAAGACCUCUAUGAUACGGUAGUGUUUGAGCUGAGACCUGAAUGAAAGGGUUGUGUGAAUAACAUGAAUGUACAAAGGAAAGCUUUCCAGACCAGGGGCACAGCAGGUGCAAAUGCCCUGAGGCAAGAAUGUUAUUAGGUGUUUGAGGAAGGAUAAGGAGGCCGUUAUACUCAAGACCGAGUGAACAAGGACACAGUGGCAGGAGAAACAAUCAAGGAGUGGGGUGGACAGAUCAUGCAGGUCCCUUACAGGUUAAUUCAGAUUUGGAAUUUUAUUUCGAGUGAGAUGGAAAGCUAUUGGAGAGUCAAAGCAGUGGGCAUAUGUGAUUUGACUAUAGCUUUAAAAGAAUCGCUCUGGUUAGGCUAGGGGCAGUUGUAGUGAGGAAGGAUGGGGCCUGGGGACCACUGAGCGCAGUAAUCCAGGUAUGAGAUGCAGGUGCCUGGAGUUAGGGAGACAGCAGUGGAGACAGUGAGAAGUGGCUGGAUUCUGGCUACAUUUUAAGUUAAAGCUGUGGUCAAAUUAUUCUUUAAGACUUUUACUCAGUAAGAUUCUACCAGAUAUAGAUUAAAGAAGAAUCUCUUUUUUGAGAGGACUCCAUUCUAUCAUAUUUAUACUGGUAAUUAUUCUCACACUUGCUCUCAGGGGAGCUCAUCUGUUAGGAUUAACCCUGGCUCUCAGAGAGGCUUGGGUGACAUGCUUUGUGUCACAAGUCAAGCCAGAUCCCAGAGCUCCAAAGCUACUGUUCCUUCCACUAAAUGUCACAUUUUCUCAGUUUUUUUUCCCUUGCAUAUCCAAGGAGUUUUGAUUUAAAAUAUGUAAAGUAUUUUUAGCAUGAGGAAAAAAUUCUGAAUAUUGACUAAGUAGUUAGCUUCAUAAAAAAUUGUUAGCAUCUUAUUUUCAAAAGAUCAGUGUAGUGAUUUUUAGCAAUGUUUUGAAUUUUGUAUGCUAAAAACAAACAUGCAAUAAUUUAUUUUUGAGCAAUUUUAACAAGCACACUAUAUGGGGAAGUGCUCCCUUUCUCUUAGUGUUGUUUUCUAUGUUGCCUUGUUUUUAAAUAUGUGCAUUUAAAACUUAAGCAUUAUUAAAAGCAUGCCUAAAGAUAUUAUUUAACAAACUAGUUCUAAGAGGAAAGUGUGUGUAUUGUUAGUCCUAACCAUUCACAUAUUUGUUUAUUCUGAAAACUAACCAAUGACUUAAGUUUUUUAUUCUGAAAUAUUUUUUAAUCAAAUAUGCAUUUACAGUACUAUAAAAUACUAACCAAACAGCUAACAAGAUUUAUCAGAAUGAUAGUAUUGUGCUACAUAAUGCUUUUUAUAUUGAAAUAUUUGAGUUCUAACCCAUUCGAUUCUUCUUGUUCUUGAAUAAGAAUAUAAGGUUUCUUGGAAAUUCUUAGCUGCUUUUAUAUUUGGAAGUUAGAACAUGAUGCAAAUGCCCUCAUUUUAAUCGGGAAACAUGGACAGUGACAUUAAAAAAUUCUUCCUCCUCAUACUCAUGAUUCAUUUCCACUAGACCCACACCUGUCUCAAAUAGACUCUCAGACUCUUGAGUAAGGCAUUCAUUUCUUUCUUUUCCCUGCCUCCUUCCUCUGGAAACUCAGAGAAUUUAAUGUAUUGUGCUUUUAUUGACAACCCCUGAAAUGCUUGAUAUUCUGGCUAAGAGGUAGGAAGAAUACAGAGAAUUGAACACAGUCCUUGCUUUCUGUGGGCUUGACUCCUAAAUAAUCAUUUAAGUUCGAUGAUCUGAGUAAGGAGAAGCCUUCCAUUAGCCUUGCAAGGAUAAAUAAUUGAUAAACUGGUGACUCUUACCAAUUGCUUAUUCUUUAAGAAAAGAGAGAGAGACAGAGAGAGCAUUUUUCAAAUGUCCAAAGAGAAUUUUUAACCUUUUUUCUGUCCCAUCAAAGAUGAGAUCUGUCAUCUCUUUUAAGGUAUUUUAUCUUAGAUCCUUCUUUUCAUUCCAAUUCCCAGUGUCGUGCUAAUCCUUGCUCACAGGGGAAUUUGCAAAUGUAAGUAUGGGAGAUGGAAGAGUAUAAGAAAUAGGAAACAUCCACUUUUGUCUAUGCAGAACUAUUCAUAUUUACUGGAUUAAGUACAUAUUAAAAUACAGAAAUUAACAGUCACUGUUUAAGCAUGUACAGUCACUAAAGGCAAGCGAGAUGGCUCUGUGUAUCAACCCGGAAUAACCUCAUUGGUCAAAUGUCGUCUAAGCUCUCCUCCAAUGAAAACACAGCUCAUCGUUCAUGUUCCCUUGCAAAUAUGAAGGGGAGUGAUUUUUCUUGUUUCAGAAGAUGCUAUAAUGGUUGCAUGUAGAAUUGCUAAAAGGAGGAUAGAGUAAUUUAUCCUGUCAGAGUUAUUGAUACUCAAGUCUAUCUUUUGGAAAAUUGGAUUUAUUGACAGUUAGGCAUGCUUAAAUCCUGAUUGCAAAUUUUAGAUGUUUUCAAAAGAUUAUGCAAGAGUAGAAAUUGGAGUGUGUUAUCCUUUGUCUUCUGUUUGGUGCUGUGCUGUUCUGCUUCCAGUGAGGGUAGUAACUAUGAUGAGAGAGUAUAAUGAAAUGGUUAUUUGGUUGUUUUGUUAGUUCCAGGGUCCAGAAUUUUCUAAUCCCAUUAACAAUAAAUACUCUACCCCCUCAAAACCACAAAUAUCUCAAAUAUUUAAGUUCACUAAGCUUAUAAUUAGCCUAAGAAAUAUUUUCUCAUAGAGCUUCAAGGCAAUAACCAGAUAAUUCUUGAAAUUAUAGAUGGAAAUCAAGUAACCUAAUAUAAAAAUAAAGAAGUUCUCCCUUUAUGAUAUAUUGACCACAAAUUUUAUAAUCCACAGUGUUAACUUUGUAAGAACUAAUUAUUUUAAAACAUACAUCAUUCCAUUAUGUAUAAUGAAAAUUGUAUAUUGUGCUGAAAGAAAAACAAAUAAGUGUUGAGUGGUUUUGCAUAAUGAACAUUGUUAAAAUAAGCUUUAUUAUCUGAAAUUAUAGAACUUAAACUUGUAUAGCAAGUCUGGCUUGAUUGCUGUUUGCUGCUAUAGAAUAUACAAGAAAAAGAGCAAAAUAUACUAAAAAGAAAAGACAAUCUGUGUUUUUCUAUUCCAUAAAUCUUUCUUCCCAGAUAUUUCAUCAAUGGCUAUUGGUUCUAUUUCCUUCCCAUGAAAUGUGGAAGCCAAUGAAGACGUAGGAUCUGCCAAAAAGGGGCACCCAUCCUGUUUGUAAUGAAUAUAGAAUACUCAUUUGUAGAGUGAAGAAACAACAGAUACAGGCAGAGCUGACUUGUGUUCUAUUCUCUAUAUACAAUCUGACAUGAGUAUUUAUCACACUUUGAUAGAAGUAACUGAGAACUUUAGAAAUAUUUUGUCCGUUGCAGAAUAGGAAUGUAGAAUUGAGCAAUGUCAAUUUCCAAAAGUUUCAUACACAUUAUUCUAAUUUUCUUCCAUAGGAGAAGUUAUGUAUAAUAUUUAAGAUUUUGAUAAACCCUUCAUCUGGAAGCAAGUAAAAUUCAACAUGUAAAGGUGGGAAAGGAGGAAGAAAAAAGGAAGCUUGCUGGAGGGCAGUAAUAGAUCACGACCUAGCUUUGAUGAGAUCUUGGAAAAGUUACCAACAAGUCCAUGAAGGAAACCGAAGGCAAAUAGAUGAGGAAACAUGUCAUGUCUCCAAAGAAUAGCAGAGAGCUUGCUUAGUUGCUUGCCCUAAAAUCAAGGCAUGGUGAAGAUGCACUCAUAUGCUAAUGGCCAUGCGAAUUAUAUUGAACGACUCUGGGAGAAAAACCCAAUCUCCAGUUAAAAGUGAAGGGUGCACAUGGGUUACCCAAUGUGUGAGUCACCGAGAAGUGCAAUGCUGCGCGAUGACUGGUGAGUCGCAGGCUCUGAAGGACGUUUCCUGAGAUUCUCACACAGAUGGCUGCUGAAAACCAUAAGUGAGAGGGAGGAGGAGGAGGAGGCGAAGGAGGAGGAAAAGAAGGGAAGGAAAAAAUAAAUGUGUGGGGGGCAGGGGGCUCUCUGUAAGCAGCUUUUAUUGUUCUUUAAUUUCUUGACUACUGAACCAAGUACUUACAGAAAUCCUACAACUCUUUUCUGCAAUUGCCAUGGGAUGUACACAGUCUUAAAAAUUCUAAAAUUGAUCACAUUCAAUUUAGAAUCUUCCUUUUAACUCUUACGCCGUAUACACUGCCAGGUGAUUGAGAAGGAAGUUUCCGUGGUGUCUAUCUGACGCUGCCUGCCACUGUGUGAGGAGCCGCAUGAGAACACGGAGCACAUGCCUUAUAGUCUAUCCUGUACAGGUCAGAAAGCAGAAAGGAGGAAUGUUGUUUUUACAUCUUUGCAACUCAUUCCCAUAACUUUUUAAAGCGCUGUCUCUUCCUUCUCUGCCUUGCCUUGUAGAAUUCAUGCCAAAGAAAGUAUUUUAAAAUAAGAAACUGAUUAAUUUUUACUGUAGCCCAUGCUGUAGAUGUGUCACUGAUCUAUGAAAUAUAUACAACUCUGGUAACUCUGCACAGAAACUGUGGAUUCUUUCUGCCACCCACAGAAUAGGGUCCAAACUCCUUACCACGGUGUUGAAGAUCUUUUAUAUGCUGAGCCUGGAAAACAUAGUACCUUCAAACAUGCUCCUUUCCUCUCGUCUAAGUAAGUUUUCCAGACGCAUCGGUCUAAUACUUAUGUGCUCUUUCCCUAACACAUGGACUUUUAGGCCCAGUUGGCUUCUCUUUAUAACCCUUUUUCCUGGAAUGCCUCUGUCUGUUUCUCUUCAGAGAUAAUUUCUGCUCAUCUCCUCAGUAGAUAAGAACUGUUCAGAACUUUCCAAAGUAUUUCCAGGAACUUAAUACUUAGAGAAAACAUACCAGGAGAAACAGUGGAAUAUUUAGGGGUUAUCUAGCCCGACCUUUUCACUUUGUAGCUAAGGAAACUGAGGCACAGAGAGAGGAGACUGCCCAAAGUCGCAGGGUAAUACCGGACAGGCCAAGACUAAGUCUCGGUCUCUUGCCAGUCUCUGCAGUGCUGACCACGACAGCCUGUGAUUCAGACGACUCCGGACUUAACCUUGGAAAAUGUGUUAGCCUUUCUGAGUCUAAAUGAAAGUUGGGAAUGUAAACAGGUAACCAGAAUAGCUCCUUUUUUUCUCCUUCUGUUCAUAGUCUUUUCUGAUUUCCAGUUCAGCUACUGCGUCUACACAUUGUGUGUUCUUACUUUUAUAGAGAACUGGGAGCUGCUGUAGCAGCAGAGAAUAGUGAUUAGAACACAGACUGUACAGUUAGAUUGUUUUUAAAUUUUUUUUUUUUUUUUUUGGUUCAAAUCUUACACCCACUACUUACUACCUGGAUAUUUAAAUGUUGUGCCUCGAUUUUCUCAUUUGUCAACUGAGAAUAAUUUAUUUAAUGCAUUCAAACAUACUUAUUCAGAGAUUUCUGUUCUUGGCUGUAAGGAUACAGUAGUAAACCACACAAAUAAAAUCCCUGCUUCAUUCUAGUGGUCAGGGACAGAUUAACUAAUGAUACCAGUCUUUUCCUGAUUGCAGCCCUUAGUGUGUGUUCCGCCUUUCUGGAAUUUUCUUCCUAGACAUGUUUGAAGAGUUCACUCCCUCUCAUCCUUUGAAUUCUUAUUUAAAAGUCGUCUUCACUGGCUACCUACUUUAAAUUUCAAUCCCACCCUUCUCGCAGUUCAUAGUCCUUUUCCUGCUCUAUUAUUUUUUCAUCAUCAGUCUUUAUUACUGUCCAACACACCACAUAUGUUUUCUUAUUUGUCUCGUUUAUGUGUCACUGUUCUCACUAACAUGUAAACUUCAGGAGGGCUGGGACAUUUUUCUAUUCUGCUCUCUAUUAUAUCCCAAGAUCUGAGAACAGUACCUGGCAUGUAGCAGGUGUUUGUUACCUAUUUCCUAAAGGACUGUGUUAAUAUCUAGUUUAAGGUCCUAUGGUGAUAUUUGCAAUUAAGCAAAAAUAAAACAGAGUAAGUGGUCAAGGAUAGUGACUAGGGUGCUGUUUUACAUAGCAUGGUGAGGGAAACCUCUUUAAGAAGGAAAAUGUUGACUAGAGACAUGAAUGAAGUGAGCAAAAUGCGUCACGGUGCAUUCCAGACAGAGAAAACAGCAUGUGCAAAGGCCCUGAGGCACAUUCAUACUUGGCAGGUUCUGCUAAUGGCAAGGAAGCACUUGUGACUGGAGCAAAGUGAAUGAAGAGAGGAGAGAUAGGAAAGGAAUGAGAGAAAGAGUUCAGAUCAUUCAUGUAAGCCCUGGUGAGGACUUUGGAUUUCCUAAUGUGACUAUCUACCAAAUUGAGGUGUUUAGAGGCAUUGAAGAGAGAGCAUGUGGCAGAAUAUCAGACAUGUGCACAAGUAUUCAGUGGAAACUAUUUAUUAUAUACCAUAGGUCAAUUCAUAAUGAUAAGAUACAAAUAAGGACAAUGAAAAAACUAAAAGAGAAAUUAACACAAUUUCCUUCCCUAUCCAUAUGCUUUAUGAUAACAACAAAAACACACAUAGAAGUUAGAAAGAGACCUGUGGAAAGUUUUACUUAAGAAAGUAUGUAAAGACUAAGAAAAAGAUGGAUUAUAGUCUUAUUUUUUAAAAGGCUUAUCACACGAAGCAGUCCCACUUGAAACCUGAAAUAUUUUAGUCCUAAUCUGUGCUAUGAAUUUUUCUGCACUCAUAGUAUAGUCUUAUAAUAUAUGGCUGAAUUUUAUGAAAUAAUCAGUCAAUGAAAUAACAAUAGUUUCCUGCCACAGAAUGUAUUUAUUUCAAGCUACUGUUUGAUCUCACAAACACAUCACAACAUUUCUAGCCAGGUCAUUUGACCUCUUAAAAAUAUACCCCCAUGGAGGAAAUUAUCUAUUAUUGUUGAUAGUCACAAUCUUAAUUUGUCAUAUGUUUAUAUCUAUUCUAAGCAAGAAAGGGGAUGGUAAUAUUAAAGAUUGUGCUUUAUUAUAUAGUUUAUCAAUUGUGGUUUUCUAUUAUUUAUUUUCUACAUUCAGCACAUUCUCUGGAAUUUUCAAUAAAUGCAACGGCAUGUUCGAAGAGAAAACUUUCAAAUUCCCUGGCACUGCUGAGGUGAUCACCUCACUGUUGAGGUGAGAACCAUUUCAGUGUAACAGGAGGGACUCCCCUUCAACCUUGCCAGAGAAAGAGCAAAGUGUGUUCUUAAAAGACUCAGAAUGUGUCUGGGAGUUUUCAAACGAGAGGCCAUGCUUAUGUUUCAUCAUUCAGUUCAAUUCUUUGUGUAACAGUGAACAUCUAACACAUUUAAUAGAUUUUAUUUGUCAAGUUAAAAAGCACAUUAGUCCCAAAAAGAGUUAUAGAAAUUGAUUGAAAAAAAAAUUCACACAGCGUUGGUGGAAUAUGUAGGCUUUUAAUUAUUUUCCUUGUCCAAAGGGCACACUGACUGGGCAGACUGCCUCUUACACAUUAUAAAUUAAUCCCAUUCGUUCCCAAAACUUGUCCAUUAUUUCACUACUUUGAAAUUUGGCCGCCCUAAUUAAUCGCUGCUCUAUAAUUCAGGCGCUGGGGCCUGCGCGAGGGCCGCGUGUUUUCCAGCUGUGACCACGUGUCCAGCAAAUGCCCAGCGCAGCGGACCAUGGCCCUUCAGGCUCUCCUGCACCCAGGCGUCCGCGAGACGACUUUCUGUCCCUGGUCUAUGGGCUGAGCCCUCCUUGGGAGCAAUGCGGGUCGGGGACAAUGCCCAGCCUAGUGCAGGUGACUUGCCCUGGCCGUUGGCUGUGUCACCGAAAACUGUCACCGUAGCACUGCAAAUUGCUGAGAGCCCCUCGGAAUAUCCCCCAGGAGAAACAAGCCCACCCCAGACCGCCUCUCUGGGUUACACCUGCUUUCUAAAAUCCCAGCACCGUGCCGAGUGCUGUGCCCAGGGGCCCUGAUUCUGCUUCCUCCCAAGGCAAAGAAGCCUGAAGCUAAAGCACCCUGGCGGACGAGCACGCCAGCCCAGGCCUCCCGGCUAAUUAAAAGCAACAAACAGGGCCAGCGGCUGCCAUCCUGCAAUUGCUGCCAGUUCUCCUGCUCCAGUGUGGCUGUUCUGUGCUUCCCAUGCAUGGGAAAUGGCUCCUACCUUGGCUUAUUCUUCACCUAGAAAGAAAAAAAUGUAUUCUAUCUCAACUUUUCUAAUUAUUUUCCUUUUACUUCAUAUGGUGAUACAGGGAAAUUACAAGGAAUUGUGCAUUUAAAAAAGAAAACAUAUAAACCAACCAACCAACCAACCAACCAACCAACCAACAAACAAACAAAAAAACCCUACUUGUCACCUAGAACUUCAUUUAUUUCAGAGAAAUCUAUGGCCUAAAUCGUCUCAUCAAAAGAUAACAAAAUAGAAUGAUUCUUUCAUUGCAGUGGCAAGCACAGGGCCCGCACUGUGGCGCAGAUGUGGACAGGGGGCCAGGCCCUGUUCAAAAUAUGUUAAGUAUCUUCUCACAUAAAUCCAACAGAACCUGAACUUUGUUACAUUUGUUUAGGGUAUCAAUUCAAUAACGGGAAGAUACUGAAAAAAUGCAAUUUUAAGAUCUGACGUAUACUUCUACAGGUAAAUCUUUCUUCUAUAGCCACAUCUUGUUUUGCCCUCAUCCAUUUCAAAUAUUGAAAAAUAAGCUAUUUCUUUGAAGAAGAAGAAGGAAAGAGGAGGAAGGAAGAAAAAUAGCCAGAGAUUUAAGAGUUAAUAAGCUUUUUAAAUUGCAAAGUAUAAAGCUUUCAAUACAUUGUCCCAGAGAAAAAUAACAAAGAAAAAAUCUAUUAAGCAUUCUUGCUCUUCAGAAAAAAAAUGAUUGGACAUUUAUGUUUUAUGACAUUUUUAGAUCAAAUGUAUUUGCCGGUGGCUCUGUGGGGGAUGGGAGGGAAGGGCUGGGUGGAGAUGUUCGCUUUCCCUGUGUGCUAGUAUGACACUGAUCUUACAGACCUAGGAAUUUUAGACUCCUGAAUGGAUUUGUUAAAAAAACAAAAAAAAUGAAAGAGAGAAAAAUAAUUAGGGCAGUAAGUAUGUAUUGUCAUGAAACAUGGUGUGUAUAUUGUCAUGUAUCGUUACAUUGUUGCAAUGAAAUAUUAUAAAACUCUAGGUAUUAUCUCUGAACUGAAGCAAAAUAAAAACAAACUCAUAAAAUGAAUAAAAAAAUAGAACAACAGAGCAAUAAUUACAGUCUUAAGUGUUGGGAAGAGACUUUCAGCUCGACCCACGACAUUCCCCGAGCACCUGACAGAGGAGGAAAUGGUUAUUUGACAAGACCCCUGAUCACGCACUAACUCCUUGCUCUGUCUUUACAUUUUUAUAGUAUUUCACGCAAGUCACUUACAUUUUCUAAGUCAUCAUUUCCUCUUUUACAAAAUAAAGUGACUCAAUUAGAUUGAGUGGUGAAAAUCCAAAAAAAAAAAACAACUAGAAAUUUGAGUACUAAUAUAUUGUGAUAGGAAGUAUCAUCUUAGGUAGAAUAUGUUUUAUAAUAAAAUGAAUAGAAUUAGUUUGAAUAACUUUUCACCAUUACUUGAUGAGAUAAUUAUUAUUUUAGAGUUACUUCUUAAGAUUUCCUUUUAUCAGACAGUGUGUAUAUUUGUGUUUUUAACUAAAUGAGAAAAAAAUCCAAAUUUAUACUCAUUUUCAGCUAAUAAUCUAUAAUCAAAGCCGUGCCUAAAGUAUAGCACAGCCUUUAUUAGGUAUCUACCCCUCAUGUUGACAUUCUAUGAAAUUAAAACAUAGACUUGUAUAAUUUUCAGUUUCACAAAAAAAAACAAAAAGAAGCAAUUUUAAAAGAUUUUUGUUUGUUUGUUUCCUGUUUUCUUAAAAUAAAGCUGCUGUUGAAUAGUAUGUAUUUGACUAUAAAUGCAACCUGUUAGCUGAUUGGGCAUCUAUUUACUAUCUAACUGUCCAAAUAUAAAACUCUGUAAGAGUAUAGGAAUAAUGCAAAAGAGUUGAUUCUAACUCAGCUCAGGUAUAGAAACUCAAAAAGGGCCAUUGUUGAAAUCAAAGAACAAAAGAAAGAUUCCAUUCAAUAACUGCAUCUCCAUUCACUGGUAAAUAUUCUCUCGACUAAUGCAGGAAAUGAAUCUCAGGAAAGAUAAAGGUGGUUCAGGUGGUUCCAAAUCAGUCUCCCUUCAUCCCUCAUGUCCCUCGAUGUGUACGGGCUUCUCCCUGCUGCCUGUAACCAUGGCCAUCUGUCAUGGUGGCUCCACGCCCGCCCGUUCAGAA